CUAGGAAUGAUGAUCCGAAUGGAUCCACGUAUCCUUUCUCACCCAAACUCCCUUGUGCCAAGUGGCAGAAACCUGUACCGAGGUGAACACACAUUAAAGUAUAACCUACAGAUAGGAAAUGAGCAUAGUACUCCCAUGAGAAAAUUCAGCACCUGCACCUUCAUCAUGUGGAUUCUAGGUUCUUUAAACCAGCUCACCUAAUCAUGCUUGAGCGUUAGGGCCGAAAGAUGAACUGAAGGUGAGCUGUUCCAUUUUCACAACUAAGAAUGGGUCCCCGUGCAGACUCGUUCUGCAUGUUGACAUACUUUUUUUCCCAGCUCUAAAUAUCUGCUGGCUAGUGGGUCACGAGUCCUUUGCAGUAGCACACUUUAUUUCAAUUUUCUUCUCAUGUCACGGUCUAUUUGAAAAAAAAUAAAUGGAAUGCUGGCUAUGUGGGAUUAACCAGAAAUGUGAAACAGGAAAAUGAGUGUUGGCAAUCCUCAGCUCCAACCGUAAUGUCACAGGUGCUUGACUGCGCCCUCCUCUGACAGACACACAAGGAUGACAUUAUUGACGAUGUGGAGAGUUUUGUUGCUGCCGCGGAGAUCCUGAAAGAGAGAGGCGCCUAUAAGAUCUAUGUCAUGGCCACCCACGGCAUCCUGUCCGCAGAGGCCCCCCGCCUGAUUGAGGAGUCCUCCGUAGAUGAGGUGGUGGUGACGAAUACUGUCCCUCAUGAGGUUCAGAAGCUGCAGUGUCCCAAGAUAAAGACUGUGGAUAUCAGUUUGAUUCUUUCUGAAGCCAUUCGGAGAAUCCACAAUGGAGAGUCCAUGGCCUACCUUUUCCGAAACAUCACUGUGGAUGACUAGCUUUCACGAGGGUCUCAACUCUGGACCUCCUGAGGGAAACAUGGAAAAAGCAGUGCCAUGAGUGAUACAGUGUUUCCUUGCAAGGGAGGACUGGAAACAGCCUGGAGUUAGAUAUUCUCUUUUGCCUGGAUUGAUGGGGAGGAGGGAUUAAAAGAG
rnacentral:sRNA from 1 species